GGAGAAAGACAAAGUGAAGUGCUCUUCGAAAUCACUAGCUUCAUCAUCAAACUGGCAUGGAGGCUAGCUACCUGCUCGGGAUUCUUGGUGCCAAUGCAACUCGUAAUGUCACCAGGCUACUUUCGCGUGAGAGCCCUUUCAUAGUGCCAAAUGUGUCCUUCCAGAGUCCCGUCACAGAGGCUCAACAGCUUCUCAAAGCAUUUCCGGACGAACACGUGGGUCAUCACCCUAACAACAUCGCUGG
rnacentral:lncRNA from 1 species